rnacentral:pre_miRNA from 1 species
UCUUACGGAUGAGCAAAGAAAGUGGUUUCUCAAGGUGGCAUCUACUCCUGGUGGAGAUGCUGUGAA